UACGGGGGGGGCAAGCGUUGUUCGGAAUUACUGGGCGUAAAGGGCUCGUAGGCGGCCAACUAAGUCAGACGUGAAAUCCCUCGGCUUAACCGGGGAACUGCGUCUGAUACUGCAUCGCUUGAAUCCGGGAGAGGUGAGUGGAAUUCCGAGUGUAGAGGUGAAAUUCGUAGAUAUUCGGAAGAACACCAGUGGCGAAGGCGGCUCACUGGACCGGUAUUGACGCUGAGGUGCGAAAGCGUGGGGAGCAAACAGG
rnacentral:rRNA from 1 species